AGUCCACGCCGUAAACGAUGAGUGCUAAGUGUUGGAGGGUUUCCGCCCUUCAGUGCUGCAGCAAACGCAUUAAGCACUCCGCCUGGGGAGUACGACCGCAAGGUUGAAACUCAAAGGAAUUGACGGGGGCCCGCACAAGCGGUGGAGCAUGUGGUUUAAUUCGAAGCAACGCGAAGAACCUUACCAGGUCUUGACAUCCUUUGACCACUCUAGAGAUAGAGCUUCCCCUUCGGGGGCAAAGUGACAGGUGGUGCAUGGUUGUCGUCAGCUCGUGUCGUGAGAUGUUGGGUUAAGUCCCGCA
rnacentral:rRNA from 1 species